CCUGGCUUGGGCCAUCCAGGCUUGGCUAGGAUUGCCGGCCUGGGGUUGAGGCGCUCGCAGUGGUCUCUUCCGGGCCGGGGUGGAUCCGGGCCUCUCCAGCGAGUGGGCGGCGUGCAGCCUCGUCUGGGCUUCUGGGACCAGCCCUACGCGGCUCGGGCCCCUUGGCCACUGGGUCCCGGGGCGCCGUCCGCGAGCGGCCUGGACUGCCGGAGACCCGCGGGAGGGAGCGCCUCGCCAGACCCACCGUGUCCACACUCUGCUCUCCCUGGGUAGGAAGACUGAGGAGGAAGGGAUGGCUGUGGAUCUGCUGUCUGCUCAGGAGCCUGUGACAUUCAGGGAUGUGGCCGUGUUCUUCAGCCAGGACGAGUGGUUGCACCUGGACUCUGCCCAGAGAGCCUUGUACCGGGAGGUGAUGCUGGAGAACUACGGCAGCCUGGUCUCACUGGGUAAGAAUUUUUGCCUAUGACGAAGAAUCUG
rnacentral:lncRNA from 1 species